GAUGAACGCUGGCGGCGUGCCUAAUACAUGCAAGUCGAGCGAACAGAUAAGGAGCUUGCUCCUUUGACGUUAGCGGCGGACGGGUGAGUAACACGUGGGUAACCUACCUAUAAGACUGGGAUAACUUCGGGAAACCGGAGCUAAUACCGGAUAACAUUUGGAACCGCAUGGUUCUAAAGUGAAAGAUGGUUUUGCUAUCACUUAUAGAUGGACCCGCGCCUUAUUAGCUAGUUGGUAAGGUAACGGCUUACCAAGGCAACGAUACGUAGCCGACCUGAGAGGGUGAUCGGCCACACUGGAACUGAGACACGGUCCAGACUCCUACGGGAGGCAGCAGUAGGGAAUCUUCCGCAAUGGGCGAAAGCCUGACGGAGCAACGCCGCGUGAGUGAUGAAGGGUUUCGGCUCGUAAAACUCUGUUAUUAGGGAAGAACAAAUGUGUAAGUAACUGUGCACGUCUUGACGGUACCUAAUCAGAAAGCCACGGCUAACUACGUG
rnacentral:rRNA from 1 species